AUUGAGCGCUGCCGGCAUGCUUUACACAUGCAAGUCGAACGGUAACAGGCCUUCGGGCGCUGGCGAGUGGCGAACGGGUGAGUAAUGCAUCGGAACGUGCCCAGGCGUGGGGGAUAACGCAGCGAAAGCUGUGCUAAUACCGCAUACGAUCUGCGGAUGAAAGCGGGGGACCUUCGGGCCUCGCGCGAUUGGAGCGGCCGAUGUCAGAUUAGGUAGUUGGUGGGGUAAAGGCUCACCAAGCCAACGAUCUGUAGCUGGUCUGAGAGGACGACCAGCCACACUGGGACUGAGACACGGCCCAGACUCCUACGGGAGGCAGCAGUGGGGAAUUUUGGACAAUGGGCGCAAGCCUGAUCCAGCAAUGCCGCGUGCAGGAAGAAGGCCUUCGGGUUGUAAACUGCUUUUGUACGGAGCGAAAAGGCUCCCUCUAAUACAGGGGGCUCAUGACGGUACCGUAAGAAUAAGCACCGGCUAACUACGUGCCAGCCGCCGCCGUAAAAC
rnacentral:rRNA from 1 species